rnacentral:lncRNA from 10 species
AAAGAAGGAAGGGGUUUAUUCAGCCAGGGGCAUUGGCAAGACUCCUGUCUCAAGAGCUGAGCUCCCCAAGUGAGCAAUUCCUGUCCCUUUUAAAGGUUCACAACUCUAAGGGGAUGUGUGUGAGAGGGUCAUGAUUGAUUGAGCAAGCAGGGGGUACAUGACUGGGGGCUGCAUGCACCGGUAGUUAGAUUAGAACAAAACAGGAUAGGGAUUUUCACAGUGCAUUUCUAUACAAUGUCUGUAAUCUGUAGAUAACAUAACCGAUUAGGUCAGGGGUUGAUCUUUAACUACCAGGCCCAGGGUGUGGCGCUGGGCUGUCUGCUUGUGGAUUUCAUUUCUGCCUUUUAGUUUUUACUUUUUCUUUCUUUGGAAGCAGAAAUUGGGCAUAAGACAAUAUGAGGGGUGGUCUCCUCCCUUAUUCCCCCACUUUGAGACUCUCAAUAGUGGGAGUUCUCACUUUUAUUUUUACUACCUAUGUUUUCUUGCAAGACAGAUCGAUAGUGAUUCAUAUAUUACACUUGUGCUGAAGCAUUUUGGUGAACCAAGGUAACAAUGAAGCUUUUUAUCAUCUGAAGAAGUACAGGUAGCAAACAAGGGAGCAGUAAGCAGAUUCCUAUUACUAUUAUAACUUUUAUUAUAAGAGUUUUAAAUCCUCUUAGCGCUGGGAACCAUUUUCUAAACAUGGCCCCAGGAUCAAAUCCAUGCCACACUUGCAUGGGCACGUGUGCCAGUUUUGUCAUAUCUCUAACUAUGUCUUCAACAACUGGCCCUUGAUUAUCUAUGUGUAGGCAGCAAUUAGUAAGGUUAAAUUUCCUGCAGACCCCUCAUUCAGCUGCUGGCAAGUAGUCGAGGGCUAAUCUAUUUUGAUAUAUAGCAUUUCUCAUCUGAGUUUCUUGCCAGGCCAGAAUAGUCAAGGCUCUGCUGGUUUUAUUAGUGAUUAUUUUUAAGACAGCUUGUAACCAUAUGAUUCGGUUGAUCAUGUAAAUGGGGGUCCGGUAUCCCCAUGAGCCAUCUUGUGCCUAAGUAGCAGGCCUAUAAUAUUGUAUGAUUCUCUCAGGGGGCCAUUUAUCAUUUUUUCAAUUUCUUAUAGCUAUGAUUCUCUUUUCGCGGGAAGCGUAGACAGGGAAGCCAAGGAGUUUGCCUGUUUUUAUGGGCAGUAGGAAGAAAGAUGGUUUAAUAGUGCCAAUAACACAACUACCUGCCUACUGGUCAGUAAUCUGUCAUAAGCUCUAUGCCUACAUAUCCAGUAUAAUCCAGUGGGGGCUGUCCAGUCCCGGUGGGACUCCAGGUGGGUCCAGUUUGCAACUUUGAGAAUUUACUAAAUUUUCUCUCUGUGUGAUUUGAACUCCACCAAGUGAUUGUUUUUGUGGUACCAUUAUACAGUUUCUGUCUCCGACAACUAAGUCAUCCUACGCGGUGAGUGAAUUCUUUUCCUUCUCUAGCUAUGCAAUAUUGUUUAAUAAUUGAGGCUUUUAGGAUCAGAAAUUAUCAGGGUGAUUCUUUUGAGCCAGGAAUUCAUCAGGUACUGUAGGUACUAAUUCUCAGGCUUCCCAUGGCCAUUGAUCUCUUAUUACAGCUUCUCCACAUACAUAACAUGAAGUGACAUUGAGAGACUGGGCUACAUGCUUGGCUAAUUGCAAAAACAAAUUUCUUGUUUUUCCUGGAAUUUCUGGUACUGGCACAUUUAGUUCAUCAUAGAAAGUUUGAAACACUGGCUCAGGAGAGUCUUUGUAAGCUUCUCGAACCAAGAUAUUUACUCAAGGAUCCAGUCUGGCCCCGUCGAUUCCUAAGGUCACAUGCUCCUCUUUUUUUCUAGCGAGGAUCAAGGGGAUUGGUUAUGACUAGCUCUAAGGGGUUACAUUGUCCCUGAGUACAGGAAGGGCCAUUUUUUCCUUUCUGAAGGUGGGAUGGAUCUUUUUCAUUUUUUUUUUUAAUCCAAGUGGCCUAAAUGACACAAGACCAGUGUUCACAUUUAUUUCCACACAGUGCUAAUUUAUGACAGUUGUAUUUAUUUUCUGCCAUAUAGCCUCUUUUCUAAUUAAGAGAACCACACCUUAUUCCUAACUUAUUACUAUUAAUGACAGCACAGGCAUCAAAUUUUAAGGUGACUUGUUUGGGCACCCCUUUUUCUUCUGUUUUAGCUAACACUUUACUCAUAUCAUUUAUGAGCCCCAACCAGUCCUCAGUCCUUAAUCUUAUUUAAAAAACUGUCCCUCCAGGGUUCAAGCAAUUCUCCUGCCUCAGCCUCCAGGCAUGCACGACCACGUCCAGCUAAUUUUUGUAUUUUUAGUAGAGACGGGGUUUCACCAUAUUGGCCAGGCUGAUCUUGAACUCCUGACCUCAGGCAAUCCACCUGCUUCAUUAAAUUAUGCACUAAAAGUGUAUAAUUACACUGUUUGUAAUACAAAUGAUAAACGCUAGAGGUGACGGAUAUCUUAUUUACCCUAAUGAAAUUUCUACAUAUUGUAUGCCUGAAUCAAAAUAUACCAUAUAAGGCAUAAAUAUAUACACAUACAAUAUACCCACAAAUACUAAUAAUAAAUUUCAGUAAGAAAAAAAUAGGCAGGGUGCGGUGGCUUAUGCCUGUAAUCCCAGCACUUUGGGAGGCCAAGGCAGGUGGAUCACCUGAGGUCAGGAGUUCGAGACCAGCCUGGCCAACAUUGUGAAACCCCAUCUCUACUAAAAAUCCAAAAAUUAGCCAGGCGUGGUGUUGGGCACCUGUAAUCCCAGCUACUUGGGAGGCUGAGGCAGAAGAAUGGCUUAAACCCAGGAGGCAGAGAUUGCAGUGAACGGAGAUCAUGUCAUUGCACUCCAGCCUCGGUGACAAGAGUGAAACUCCAUCUCAAAAAAAAAGGAAUUGAGAACUUGUUAUAGGUUUAUAGGUUUUGCCACAUUCUUCACACUUGUAGGGCUUCUGUUUGGUAUGAAUUAUGUGUAAUAAGGGUUGAGAACUUCCUUAAAAAGCUUUGUCACAUUCUUUAUAUUUGUAGGGUUUGUGUUCCAUAUAAACUCUCAAAUUUACUAAGAGUCGAGGGCUGGUUAAAGGCUUUCCCACAUUCAUCACAUUCAUAGGGUUUCUCUCCAGUAUGAAUUAUCUUAUGCUAAUUAAAAGUGGAGGAACAUUUAAAAGAUCUGUCACAUUCUUCACUAUGUAGGGUUUUCGUUCAAUAUGAAUUUUCUUAUGUUUAUUAAGGUCUGAGGACCAGUUAAAAGCUUUGCCACAUUCUUCACAUUUGUAAGGUUUCUCUCCAGUAUGAAUUCUCUUAUGUGUAGUUAGAGUUGAGGAUGCAGUAAAGGAUUUGCCACAUUCUUCACAUUUGUAGGGUUUCUCUCCAGUAUGAGUUCUUUUAUGUUUGGAGAGGAUUGAGGGCCAGGUAAAGGUUUUGCCACAUUCAUCACAUUUGUAGGGUUUCUCUCCAGUAUGAAUUUUCUCAUGUGAAAAAAGGGUUGUGGAAUGGUUAAAAGCUUUGCCACAUUCUCUACAUCUGUAGGGUUUCUCUCCAGUAUGAAGUAUCUUAUGUGUAGUAAGGUGUGAGGAUAGGUGAAAGGCUUUGCCACAUUCUUCACAUUUGUAGGGUUUCUCUCCUGUAUGAAUUCUCUUAUGUAUAGUAAGGUUAGAGCAGUGCUUAAAGGAUUUGCCACAUUCUUCACAGUUGUAGGGUUUCCCUCUAGUAUGAAUUUUCUUAUGUGUGGUAACGUGUGAGGGGUGCUUAAAGGCUUUGCCACAUUCUUCACAUUUGUAGGGUUUCUCUCCAGUAUGAACUAUCUUAUGUGUAGUAAGGUCUGUGGAUCGGUUGAAGGCUUUGCCACAUUCUUCACAUUUGUAGGGUUUCUCUCCAGUAUGAAUUUUCUUAUGUGUAGUAAGGUUUGAGGACUGCUUAAAGGCUUUGCCACAUUCUUCACAUCUGUAGGGUUUCUCUCCAGUAUGAAUUUUCUUAUGUGUAGUAAGGUUUGAGGACGAGUUAAAAGCUUUGCCGCAUACUAUACAUUUGAAAGAUUUUUUUCCAGUAUGUCGUAUCUUAGGUCUGUUUCAAUUUGAAAAUUUCUGAAAGACUGUCCCAUAUUUAUCACAUUGAAAUAUUUUUCUCUGGGUAGUUGUCAGACUGUGGUGAAGACCAUUAUUACCUCUUUUGAGCAGCUCAUGCUCAUCCACACUUUCACAGCCUUUUUUUAACUGUAAAUUGUCAUAUCCACAUUUUUCAUAUCUUCUAAGUAUCACUUUUUGGAAAGAAUCUUUUAUGCUCUGCUCUGGCCAAAGGUCUUGGGCAAAAUGAGAACACAUAACAG